ensembl:ncRNA lncRNA:CR40719 long non-coding RNA:CR40719
GAUAGCAGCUGGAUCAGUUGGUUCAAGGACAACGAGUUCCUCUGCCGCGUGCCUACCGACUACAUUCAGGACCCGUUCAUCCGGACGAGCCUAGAGUUCUUCACCCAGACACUGAACGUGUUCCUGAAUCUGGUGUUCGACCGUUCUAUGGACUGGGUCUCCGGAGAUGAGGAAAAGCUGUACGGCAUGAUUCACGCCCCAUACAUAGUGUCGAAGCGUGGCCUGAAUGAUAUGCGCCUUAGAAUUGUGUCCAAAGAUCUCCUGUAACUGGCAGAAAACCCCGCCUGUGGGUCUCAGCGACGUGUGGGGAAAGUCCAAGGUGAAGAUCUACAGCCCAAGCUAUAACAACGUCUUCGUGCCGCUAUCCAACUGGACGGAGCCAUGUUCGGGACCACCUUCCCGCACAUGUUCUUAGUGCAGCUGCCGAACUUGAGA